GAUGAAGAACGUAGCGAAAUGCGAUAAUUAAUGUGAAUUGCAGAAUUCAGUGAAUCAUCGAAUCUUUGAACGCACAUUGCGCCCUCCGGUAUUCCGGGGGGCAUGCCUGUCCGAGCGUCAUUACAGCCAUCAAGCGCGGCUUGUGUGUUGGGCGCCUGCCCCCUGGGGCACGCCCGAAAUUUAGGGAUCGUCUAGGUAAAGGACCCCCAGCGCAUGGGCACAUCACCCGCUGAAGGAGUUCUCGCCCCGGCUAUCGACCCCCGCGGCUUCAACUAAAUUUUAGUUAAGCCCCAGCCCAACUUUUUUGGGCAUUCUCGGUGGACCUCGGAUCAGGUAGGGAUACCCGCUGAACUUAAGCAUAUCAAUAAGCGGAGGA
rnacentral:misc_RNA from 1 species